rnacentral:rRNA from 1 species
UACGGAGGAUCCGAGCGUUAUCCGGAUUUAUUGGGUUUAAAGGGUGCGUAGGCGGCCUUUUAAGUCAGCGGUGAAAGUCUGUGGCUCAACCAUAGAAUUGCCGUUGAAACUGGGAGGCUUGAGUAUGUUUGAGGCAGGCGGAAUGCGUGGUGUAGCGGUGAAAUGCUUAGAUAUCACGCAGAACCCCGAUUGCGAAGGCAGCCUGCCAAGCCAUGACUGACGCUGAUGCACGAAAGCGUGGGGAUCAA